AGCGAACGCUGGCGGCAUGCCUAACACAUGCAAGUCGCGCGGUCAGCAAUGGCAGCGGCGGACGGGUGCGUAACGCGUAGGAACGUGUCUUGAGGUGGGGACAACCCUGGGAAACUGGGCUAAUACCGCAUAUGGGCUGAGGCCCAAAGCCGUGAGGCGCCUUGAGAGCGGCCUGCGUCCGAUUAGCUAGUUGGUGGGGUAAAGGCCUACCAAGGCGACGAUCGGUAACUGGUCUGAGAGGAUGAUCAGCCACACUGGGACUGAGACACGGCCCAGACUCCUACGGGAGGCAGCAGUGGGGAAUAUUGGACAAUGGGCGAAAGCCUGAUCCAGCAAUGCCGCGUGAGUGAUGAAGGCC
rnacentral:rRNA from 1 species